rnacentral:tRNA from 1 species
AAGUAAGAAGCGAAUACUUGCAACCAGUUUCGACCUGGAAUACUAGAUGUUAUAAACAUCCUUACUUG